GCUCCCGGCGGCCUCGGGCCCGAUCCGGCCCCGGUGCUGCCGCUGGGCACCCCGGAGCGUCUUUCGGCACCAGGGGAGAGGCCACCGCGGAGGCAGCUGGCGAGGCAGGGCGGUAAAGGGUCCCUCAUGGGAUCACGGGAUGUUCCGGGCUGGAAGGAGCCCACGAGGGUCAGCCGGUCCAACUUCUCGGUGCUAACUGGCUGCCUGGGAGGUGUUUUGUCGGAGCAGCCCCGGGACCCGAGGAGCAGUUCGCUCCAGGGAGACACUGGAACACAAGCCUGGCGCCGUGGACCCCCACAAGAAACACUGCGGGAAGGAGUGAGCAGGGAUGAGGCAGGAGAGUGCUUGGGAAGAACGCUGAGUUCAAGCUGGAUGUGCAGAGACAUUGGAGCAAGCAUGCAGGGCUGAUGCCCAUCACACGGGCUGGAGGACAUCCCCUGGGUCGCGGUGGGAACGUGGCACUGGGAGCAGUGUGCUGGAGCAUGCCAGCAGAGCCCGAGGCCGUUGCUAAUCAUGCUAACACACAUUCUGACUGCUCUCACUGGACACACAGCCAUCACCAGCUGGCUACCUUCUCGGCUCACCCACCAUGGAGACUGUGUCACUGUGCUCUACAAUGCCCCAGCAGCCCUGUCUCUGACCUAGGCCCCCAAAUCCUUCAUAUCCCUUCCUAGAUACACACCGUCACCCAAACCUGCUUCCAGGCUGACAGGCUGAAUCCCCUGAAGGCCGUGAAGAAAGAAAAGUGCCAGAGACAAGAUGCUCCAAGAGCAGGACCCCUCACAGAGAUGAGGCUGUGCAGAGGCAUCCAGUGAGCAGGGACAGAUGUUGCAGUGUGUUCCUGCAUGUCCUCACACCAUGAGCCGUGGUCCAGCGCAGUGGGGAAAUGGAUGCUGGGAUUUUGCAGUCAGGCUGCCUAGCUGGGGAGGGAAGUUGCUUGUGGUGACUGCCUUCCUAGCAGCCCUGUGCAGAAGGGAGAGUGAAGAUGUGGAAGGAACUGAGCUUCCUGUGCCAGCCUGGCAUGGGGCAUGCUCAGCAUGUGCCCAGGGAUCCACUGAGUCCCAGAUUUGCUGGUUCUUGAGCACACUCCUGCUUGAGAAACUCAUCCAGAUUUGCCAGAUCUAACUGGACACCAAGGGAGCUUCCUCCACAGGGAGAAGACAGCCAUGAGGUCCAUAAAACAGCACUGGAAAUUUCAAAGCAUAGGGAUUGCACGAUGCAAAAGGCAUCAGGAAAAAAAGCAUCUGCGAGGAACAAAGUGAUCACCAGGCAGUGUUUGCGGUCUAGCAGCAGACCUCGCUCUUGGCAGAUGGAGAUGAAGAGACUUAUUAAAAUGCAGAAAACGCAGAGAUUCUCAAUAAAUUUGCCUGUCCAGCAUUUGGAAGGAAGCAGGGUUAAUGGCACUUGAGAUUGAAAGCACUUCCACCCUCUGUCAGUAACCAAGGAAGAUGUUCAGCAGCAGCUGUAGGAGAUGGCUCUUGUUAAAUCCUCUAGGCCUGGAAAACAUGCUCCAAAGUGUCUCCAAAGAGGGGACUGAGGAAGGAUCUAGAUUGUGGUGGUGGUUAGUUUUUUAUUAGUAGAAUUGCAGAGGUUCUUCCUUCUCAUCCAGUCCUGGCACAUCGCUCCCCCUUGGAGAGACAGCUGUGCCUAGGCCAUGCUGGGAUUUGACAAAGGUCUGUGCCCAUGUAGGACCCCAGCACAUCCUCACCAUUUGUUGGGCCUGUUUCUCUUUCAGAUUGGCCCAAUGUAGCCUUGUUCUCUGAUCUGUGCCUCUGAAGCAUUACCUUGGAGGAGCUUGGAGGGUCGUGUCAAAGUCCCUGGACUCACCUGAGCACUCAGAUUUGAGCUUCCCGUGGAUAUUGGCUUUCCCUUGGCCAGACCACCCAGGCUGCAAUACAGGCAGCAGGUGAAGAGAACACAGCUGAGGUGAGAGCCCCCUUGGGAGACUCCUUUGUGCUUGGGGAGCUUUAGGGGUCCUCCAGAAGGAGACCAAAUGACCUUCCCACUUGCAUGGCUUGGCACAGGCACAGGCUGCUCAGAUUCUUUUCUGUAGCCAUGAUGAGAGGCUGGUGAUAUCCCUUUGUUCACAGUGGUUCAUUUCAGGUUUGGAGGAGCAGUGGCAGAUUUCUACAUUCCCACUGCCAAAGCCAGAAUUUGUGUGCAUCUGGUGCUGCAGUUGGUGCUGUGGCAAUCCCAACUGUUUACACACCCCAUAUCUUAUGCACACUGGGACCCAGGUUUGAUGCCUGCACUAUAGAGACUCACCCCAAUGCCACAGCAGUGGCUGUGGUACCACUCUGCCUGCAAGUCACCACGGCUCACCGUGACAGAUGGCUGUCAUGGAGUGUUGCUGAUGUAGGGACUGGCAGGGGACGUGGGGUGGGGCUGGCAGAUGGGAGAGGACUGGGGAGCACACGCUGCACCACUUGCAUGCCAGACUCCACAUUUUAGUUUCUCUCUCAUGUGGGAAAGCAUCCCCAGGCUGGGUGUGCAUCCCUAGGGGCCGCCUGCUGCUGGCACUGCCCACAGCCCAUGGAGCUCCCAGGAUGGAGGGAAGGAUGGCUAUGAAGCUGUUUGCACAAAGUCCUCAGAUAGGAAGAGAACCACCCAUGGCUGCACAGAAGUGAUUUGUGGUUCACUCUGACAGACCAUGUGAAUGGGGGAGGCAGAAGGGCUUUUUGCAGCUCUGUGCAAGCGUGCAGGGCUGGUCCUCAGCACUGGAAUCUCUGCUCCCACCUUCUUCUCCACCUCUGAAGGGUCCAGGAGCUCUUUGCUGAGAUCUCCGGGCUGGUGCUCACAGCAUUGCCCUUCCUCUUACCAAAGGAGCUGCUUGCCUGGGUAAAUCCAGACAGGUCAGAGCACGCACCAGGAAGAAAAAGCCAGGCAAUGUCUUCCGGGCUCCUGCCAGCUCAGCGGAGAGCUCUGUGCAUCCACAGCCCUCAUCCAUCCUCCAGGGCCUGAGAAGCUGCUUCAGCUGCCCUAAGUGCUCCUGGUGCUCACCACCAGCUGGGGACAAGAGCCCUGUUUGGCAGCUGGGCCAAGAACAGCACACAGGACCUUCCCUGGGCUGAGGAGGGAUCAUGCCACGUCUUCAUGGUAAACUCUCCCCUCCAGUUUAACCUUGGGUGGUGCGGACACAGCCCAGCGUCCCCCAGGCAGCAGCUCCCAUUGACUCAGAGGAGAAGGUCUCUGCCCCUGCACCCUCCUGGGUGACUCACCCCCAGGUACCGUGGGGACUGAAUCUGACACUUACCAACGUGUCCCUUGAGUCAGCUGCUGGAUCAACUCUUUCCCCUGAUGCCAGCAUCGACCCUGGCUUGCAGGGAAGCCUACAGCUCCUUGAAUCUCCAGGUACUUUUUCCACAGCUUCGAAUAAAAGCCAUUCACAUGAGCUCUGGAAUGUCUGUGUGCCUGCUCCUCUCCUCCCCGGGAGCAGCCCACACACACCCCAUUGUGUAGCACAGCAGGGACCAAGAGGAUGUCACAUCUGCUGGGUGACAGCCGAACCACCUCCAGGGCUGGAUACAGCGAGGGACAUGUGGACUGGAAGGUGGCAACUGUGACACCAGAAAUACUUCCUGGGAGUCCCAGACUGAUAAAUGACACAUCUGUUCUCUGCAAAUGAACAAAAAUUGGCAUACGGAAGAGGAAACUGGCAUCGUUAGGGAACAGAUGGAUAAAUAUGACAUAUUGGGGAAGAGUCGACACAGCUCUCUAGCAGUGAAUUUCUCUUUUGCAUGGCUAGUGGCUUUCUUGGAAAAAGCUGGCAGGCACCUGAGGGUGAUCCAGCAGAGGUCCCUGCAUUUCCACAUGCAGAUCUCUUGACAAGAUGAGGUCUGGCAAAAUCUGCAAUAAUAGUGAGUUAUUCUGUAAAUUGUGGAUGCAUGCUAAGAAUUGCAGGAGGACUUUGAGAAACUGAGCAAGUUGGCAAUAAAAUGAGACAAAAGCCAGUAUUAGGGAAGUGACACAAAAGGGGAAACCAAGCCCAGGUUCUUGUAUAAAGUGAUGGGUUCUGAGACUGGGAGCUCUGAUAGUCUGUGAAACUGUCCUCUCAGCACUCAGCAGAAGUCAAAACCUCAAAGACUCUCAAACUAAUAGGAAAGGUCAGGAAAAAGGAGAGAUGAAAUCAGAGAUGUUGCUAUUCCCUAGCCAGUCCCAGUCUACAUGCAUUUCUGAUCCCCCUAUUCCAAGGAUACAUCGGAACUGGAAAACAUGCAGAGAAGGGCAACAGGAGGAUCCAAGGUCUCUGCACAUUGGGUCCAUGAAGGACCAGGACUCUUUGGCACGGGAAAGAGACAGCUGGGAUCACAAAGCUGCAUAUCACAACGCAGUUCACAGAGAUCUCCCCAGCUGGGGGAGCUGGGAGAGGCUGAAAUAACAGCAAUAACACAAGGAGGAGACUCAGCACACAGUAGCCCUCCCUGCCAGGGGCUGCAGCAGAUGCUAUGUGGUUUAGGAACAAGACCAGACAAAUUCACAGAAAAAAAAUAAAUCCAUAAAUACAUAUUAAGUACAAGGACUAGCACAAAGGGGACCUGUGAGUUUUUAGAGGCAGGGAUCAUGUCCAGGGGAAGUGUUGCUACACAUUUGCACCAGGAGACCAUCAAAGCCUGGGCAGGAUAUGCACAAAGCGUGUCUUUACCAAAUGGAGCAAGUUUCCGCACACACUUUUUGCAGCGCCCCAACCUUUCUGGAAAAAAAAAAUAAAAAAAAAAAAUUAUGCAGUUGAUAGUAUAAUUGAGACAAUACUAACUGACAAAAAGAAGAGAUGACGUCUUGCUGAAAGACAUCUGCCAGCUUGGAGCUGGAUCCAUCAGUCAUCACCUCAGCUGUGCAGAGCCUGGUCCCUGCCUCUGCUCUCGGCACUGACAGCCCUCUGCACAUCACAACCCCGAGUGUCACAACUGCUCUGUGGUGUGCUCUGUUAUUUCAUUAACACUUUGACGAGGUGUGGAGAGCCCUGGGGAACUUCAUUUCCUCAGGUUCAGGAUCAGCAUCCUGGCCACAGGCCAGUGAGAGAGCUGGGUGACAAGAGACAAGAGGAAAAUGACCGCAGGACUGACACCCAAAGGAAUCAUUUUGUGUGGAAUCAAGUCCCAGAGAGCUGAAUUCUCCCCACUCAGCUCCCGUGGGGACCGGGAAACCAAGACACAGGAGCUUUCCUGCAGUAAAACCAGGACCAUGACAGGAAAACCUCAUGACAGAUGCUGGCUUAGUGGCAACAGCUCUGUUAUAUCAUGCAAAUUGCAUGACCUGACCCAGCCACCCACUUCCACGCUCUGACAGCCAGGUGGAUGCUCUUGGGGUUUCAACCAUAGCACAAAUUCAGUCCCUUCACUGGUGAUCCUCCUUAGGGUUUUAUUUGCUCCUACGGAAGGGUUUAAUCCUGUAAGGGCAAAACAGCAUCCAGCUGGGAAAAAAUGCCUGAAUCCCUCUUCUGAAUGAGCGAAGGAAGCAUGAGCAGCUGCAAGAGCAUGGAUCUGAACUCAAUAGCAAGCGGUAAAGUGGAAUUGAUUGGAGCUGCCUGCAUUCAUCGAUCUGAGGCUGAACAAACUAAGGAGCUGGAGCAUUUGCAGCUCAAUCAGAGCAGUGGACCAGUGGGGGCCUGUGCUGUGGGGCUGGCAGGGGACCUGAGUGCCCUGGGAAGGGGUUAAUGGUGGGUUUGAUUAAUCCAGCUGCAACAGCCAUACUCACACAGCUGGGUCCUUCUCCAGGCAGACUUACUAGCUUCAUGUUGCCUGUGGGGUGUGAACUGCUCCUGGUAUACCCUUAUAUCUCUUAAUAAGGCUGUCAUCAGCCAUCAGGAAGAUGGGCUCAGUGCACAAGAGCAAAACAGUGGCCAUUCCUCCCAUUCUUCCCACAGAGAGGGGAUCAAUUGCAAUUGCCGCCAGCCCAGUUUCUCUGAAAGGGCUGAGAGGCAGAAAAUGAAGGUGAAUUCAGAGACGAGUGCAAGAAGUGGAGAGGUGAGGGCUGGCAGGCUGCCUGGCAGCUCCUGGUGGCCUGUUUUCUGCCCAUUCAGCAGCAAAAAAGCUGGGUUAAGAGGUGGCUGUGUGCAGGCCAUAAAUCCCUGCAGCGGGAGGAGGCUCCUGCUGUGCAUAGACAAAGGCAGAGUGAGAGCUGGGGCUGGCAGCUGGAAUCAGGCAGGGCACACACAGACAUGUGGCAGCAUUUAUUUAGGGCUGCAGGAUGGCUGGUUCUCCCCUGGGGCACUUUUCUCACGUUCCAUCUUCAGCUGGAUGCUGGACACACAAGGAAAGAGCUCAAGAAGUUCUCUGGGCUGUGCUCCCUGAGUUUUGAACAGCAUUUAUAAAACCCUGCUCCAUACAUUUUGGGUGCCAUUUUCUUUGAUUUUUGAGUAUUGGAGGCAGGCAAGGACAUCCCAAAAUAUAACCAAGCAGAAAAUCA